rnacentral:rRNA from 1 species
CAGUCGCCGCGGUAAUACAGAGGGUGCGAGCGUUAAUCGGAUUUACUGGGCGUAAAGCGUGCGUAGGCGGCUUCUUAAGUCGGAUGUGAAAUCCCUGAGCUUAACUUAGGAAUUGCAUUCGAUACUGGGAAGCUAGAGUAUGGGAGAGGAUGGUAGAAUUCCAGGUGUAGCGGUGAAAUGCGUAGAGAUCUGGAGGAAUACCGAUGGCGAAGGCAGCCAUCUGGCCUAAUACUGACGCUGAGGUACGAAAGCAUGGGGAGCAAACAGGAUUAGUUACCCCUGUAGUCCCUGUCUCUUAUAC